rnacentral:rRNA from 1 species
UAGUCCACGCUGUAAACGAUGAGUACUAAGUGUCGGGGUAACUCGGUACUGAAGUUAACACAUUAAGUACUCCGCCUGAGUAGUACGUACGCAAGUAUGAAACUUAAAGGAAUUGACGGGACUCCGCACAAGCGGUGGAUCAUGUUGUUUAAUUCGAAGAUACACGAAAAACCUUAUCAGGUCUUGACAUACUCUGCAAAGCUAUAGAAAUAUAGUGGAGGUUAUCAGGGAUACAGGUGGUGCAUGGUUGUCGUCAGUUCGUGUCGUGAGAUGUUAGGUUAAGUCCUAAAACGAACGCAACCCCUGUCGCUAGUUGCCAGCACGUAAUGGUGGGGACUUUAGCGAGACUGCCAAUUAAACAUUGGAGGAAGGUGGGGAUAACGUCAAAUCAUCAUGCCCCUUAUGAUCUGGGCUACAAACGUGAUACAAUGGCUAUUACAAAGAGUAGCUGAAACGCGAGUUUUUAGCCAAUCUCAAAAAGGUAGUCUCAGUACGGAUUGAAGUCUGCAACUCGACUUCAUGAAGCUGGAAUCGCUAGUAAUCGCGAAUCAGCAUGUCGCGGUGAAUACGUUCUCGGGGUUUGUACACACCGCCCGUCAAACCACGAAAGUUAGCAAUACCCGAAAGCAGUGGCUUAACUUCGCAAGAAGAGGGAGCUGUCUAAGGUAGGGUUGAUGAUUGGGGUUAAGUCGUAACAAGGUAUCCUUACCGGAAGGUGAGGAUGGAUCACCUCCUUUC